CCUACGGGAGGCAGCAGUGGGGAAUAUUGGACAAUGGGGGCAACCCUGAUCCAGCCAUGCCGCGUGUGUGAAGAAGGCCCUCGGGUUGUAAAGCACUUUCAGUGAGGAAGAACGCCUGGUGGUUAAUACCCAUCAGGAAAGACAUCACUCACAGAAGAAGCACCGGCUAACUCCGUGCCAGCAGCCGCGGUAAUACGGAGGGUGCGAGCGUUAAUCGGAAUUACUGGGCGUAAAGCGCGCGUAGGUGGCUUGAUAAGCCGGUUGUGAAAGCCCCGGGCUCAACCUGGGAACGGCAUCCGGAACUGUCAAGCUAGAGUGAAGGAGAGGAAGGUAGAAUUCCCGGUGUAGCGGUGAAAUGCGUAGAGAUCGGGAGGAAUACCAGUGGCGAAGGCGGCCUUCUGGACUGACACUGACACUGAGGUGCGAAAGCGUGGGUAGCAAACAGGAUUAGAUACCCGAGUAGUC
rnacentral:rRNA from 1 species